rfam:Myotis davidii contig156099, whole genome shotgun sequence.
GGCAGUUCUCGGGUGACACACCCCAGAAUCGGCUCCCCCCUCUCUGGUUCCUGGUGCCUCACCCGAGAACCACA